rnacentral:rRNA from 1 species
AGCGUACACGGUGGAUGCCCUGGCAGUCAGAGGCGAUGAAGGACGUGCUAAUCUGCGAUAAGCGUCGGUAAGGUGAUAUGAACCGUUAUAACCGGCGAUUUCCGAAUGGGGAAACCCAGUGUGAUUCGUCACACUAUCAUUAACUGAAUCCAUAGGUUAAUGAGGCGAACCGGGGGAACUGAAACAUCUAAGUACCCCGAGGAAAAGAAAUCAACCGAGAUUCCCCCAGUAGCGGCGAGCGAACGGGGAGCAGCCCAGAGCCUGAAUCAGUGUGUGUGUUAGUGGAAGCGUCUGGAAAGGCGCGCGAUACAGGGUGACAGCCCCGUACACAAAAAUGCACAUGCUGUGAGCUCGAUGAGUAGGGCGGGACACGUGGUAUCCUGUCUGAAUAUGGGGGGACCAUCCUCCAAGGCUAAAUACUCCUGACUGACCGAUAGUGAACCAGUACCGUGAGGGAAAGGCGAAAAGAACCCCGGCGAGGGGAGUGAAAAAGAACCUGAAACCGUGUACGUACAAGCAGUGGGAGCCUCUUUAUGGGGUGACUGCGUACCUUUUGUAUAAUGGGUCAGCGACUUAUAUUCUGUAGCAAGGUUAACCGAAUAGGGGAGCCGAAGGGAAACCGAGUCUUAACUGGGCGUUAAGUUGCAGGGUAUAGACCCGAAACCCGGUGAUCUAGCCAUGGGCAGGUUGAAGGUUGGGUAACACUAACUGGAGGACCGAACCGACUAAUGUUGAAAAAUUAGCGGAUGACUUGUGGCUGGGGGUGAAAGGCCAAUCAAACCGGGAGAUAGCUGGUUCUCCCCGAAAGCUAUUUAGGUAGCGCCUCGUGAAUUCAUCUCCGGGGGUAGAGCACUGUUUCGGCAAGGGGGUCAUCCCGACUUACCAACCCGAUGCAAACUGCGAAUACCGGAGAAUGUUAUCACGGGAGACACACGGCGGGUGCUAACGUCCGUCGUGAAGAGGGAAACAACCCAGACCGCCAGCUAAGGUCCCAAAGUCAUGGUUAAGUGGGAAACGAUGUGGGAAGGCCCAGACAGCCAGGAUGUUGGCUUAGAAGCAGCCAUCAUUUAAAGAAAGCGUAAUAGCUCACUGGUCGAGUCGGCCUGCGCGGAAGAUGUAACGGGGCUAAACCAUGCACCGAAGCUGCGGCAGCGACACUAUGUGUUGUUGGGUAGGGGAGCGUUCUGUAAGCCUGCGAAGGUGUACUGUGAGGUAUGCUGGAGGUAUCAGAAGUGCGAAUGCUGACAUAAGUAACGAUAAAGCGGGUGAAAAGCCCGCUCGCCGGAAGACCAAGGGUUCCUGUCCAACGUUAAUCGGGGCAGGGUGAGUCGACCCCUAAGGCGAGGCCGAAAGGCGUAGUCGAUGGGAAACAGGUUAAUAUUCCUGUACUUGGUGUUACUGCGAAGGGGGGACGGAGAAGGCUAUGUUGGCCGGGCGACGGUUGUCCCGGUUUAAGCGUGUAGGCUGGUUUUCCAGGCAAAUCCGGAAAAUCAAGGCUGAGGCGUGAUGACGAGGCACUACGGUGCUGAAGCAACAAAUGCCCUGCUUCCAGGAAAAGCCUCUAAGCAUCAGGUAACAUCAAAUCGUACCCCAAACCGACACAGGUGGUCAGGUAGAGAAUACCAAGGCGCUUGAGAGAACUCGGGUGAAGGAACUAGGCAAAAUGGUGCCGUAACUUCGGGAGAAGGCACGCUGAUACGUAGGUGAAGCGACUUGCUCGUGGAGCUGAAAUCAGUCGAAGAUACCAGCUGGCUGCAACUGUUUAUUAAAAACACAGCACUGUGCAAACACGAAAGUGGACGUAUACGGUGUGACGCCUGCCCGGUGCCGGAAGGUUAAUUGAUGGGGUUAGCGGUAACGCGAAGCUCUUGAUCGAAGCCCCGGUAAACGGCGGCCGUAACUAUAACGGUCCUAAGGUAGCGAAAUUCCUUGUCGGGUAAGUUCCGACCUGCACGAAUGGCGUAAUGAUGGCCAGGCUGUCUCCACCCGAGACUCAGUGAAAUUGAACUCGCUGUGAAGAUGCAGUGUACCCGCGGCAAGACGGAAAGACCCCGUGAACCUUUACUAUAGCUUGACACUGAACAUUGAGCCUUGAUGUGUAGGAUAGGUGGGAGGCUUUGAAGUGUGGACGCCAGUCUGCAUGGAGCCGACCUUGAAAUACCACCCUUUAAUGUUUGAUGUUCUAACGUUGGCCCGUUAUCCGGGUUGCGGACAGUGUCUGGUGGGUAGUUUGACUGGGGCGGUCUCCUCCUAAAGAGUAACGGAGGAGCACGAAGGUUGGCUAAUCCUGGUCGGACAUCAGGAGGUUAGUGCAAUGGCAUAAGCCAGCUUGACUGCGAGCGUGACGGCGCGAGCAGGUGCGAAAGCAGGUCAUAGUGAUCCGGUGGUUCUGAAUGGAAGGGCCAUCGCUCAACGGAUAAAAGGUACUCCGGGGAUAACAGGCUGAUACCGCCCAAGAGUUCAUAUCGACGGCGGUGUUUGGCACCUCGAUGUCGGCUCAUCACAUCCUGGGGCUGAAGUAGGUCCCAAGGGUAUGGCUGUUCGCCAUUUAAAGUGGUACGCGAGCUGGGUUUAGAACGUCGUGAGACAGUUCGGUCCCUAU